rnacentral:tRNA from 1 species
AUUUAUAUAAUAUAAAUAAUUAUAUUUGACUUCCAAUCAAAUUAUCUAGUCUAUCUAGUAUAAAUA